AUUGAACGCUGGCGGCAUGCCUUACACAUGCAAGUCGAACGGCAGCACGGGGGCAACCCUGGUGGCGAGUGGCGAACGGGUGAGUAAUACAUCGGAACGUGUCCUGUAGUGGGGGAUAGCCCGGCGAAAGCCGGAUUAAUACCGCAUACGCUCUACGGAGGAAAGGGGGGGAUCUUAGGACCUCCCGCUACAGGGGCGGCCGAUGGCAGAUUAGCUAGUUGGUGGGGUAAAGGCCUACCAAGGCGACGAUCUGUAGCUGGUCUGAGAGGACGACCAGCCACACUGGGACUGAGACACGGCCCAGACUCCUACGGGAGGCAGCAGUGGGGAAAUUUUGGACAAUGGGGCGAAAGCCCUGAUCCAGCAAUGCCGCGUGUGUGAAGAAAGGGCCUUUCGGGUUGUAAAAGCCACUUUUGUCCGGAAAGGAAAACCCC
rnacentral:rRNA from 1 species